rnacentral:rRNA from 1 species
AUUGAACGCUGGCGGCAUGCCUUACACAUGCAAGUCGAACGGUAACAGGUCUUCGGAUGCUGACGAGUGGCGAACGGGUGAGUAAUAUAUCGGAACGUGCCCAGUCGUGGGGGAUAACGCAGCGAAAGCUGUGCUAAUACCGCAUACGAUCUAUGGAUGAAAGCGGGGGAUCGCAAGACCUCGCGCGAUUGGAGCGGCCGAUAUCAGAUUAGGUAGUUGGUGGGGUAAAGGCCCACCAAGCCAACGAUCUGUAGCUGGUCUGAGAGGACGACCAGCCACACUGGAACUGAGACACGGUCCAGACUCCUACGGGAGGCAGCAGUGGGGAAUUUUGGACAAUGGGCGCAAGCCUGAUCCAGCAAUGCCGCGUGCAGGAUGAAGGCCUUCGGGUUGUAAACUGCUUUUGUACGGAACGAAACGGUGAGCUCUAAUAAAGCUUGCUAAUGACGGUACCGUAAGAAUAAGCACCGGCUAACUACGUG